rnacentral:ncRNA from 1 species
UUAAUUUGAUUCAACGCGGAAAAAUUCACCUGGGCCGGACACCUGACAGAUCGAGAGCUCUUUCUUGAUUCUGUGGUUGGUGGGGCAUGGUCUUUCCUAGGGACCGUCUGUGAUUUCAAAGUAAAGCCAAGCUAAACGUCUUUACUAUUUUCGUGGUAACCCUUGGAAUUUGCACUUUUUUUUUUCAUCAUAUUCUUACAUUUCAGGGCG